rnacentral:rRNA from 1 species
UAGGGAAUCUUCGGCAAUGGGGGGAACCCUGACCGAGCAACGCCGCGUGAGUGAAGAAGGUUUUCGGAUCGUAAAGCUCUGUUGUUACGGAAGAACGAGUGUGAGAAUGGAAAGUUCAUGCUGUGACGGUACUUAACCAGAAAGGGACGGCUAACUACGUGCCAGCAGCCGCGGUAAUACGUAGGUCCCGAGCGUUGUCCGGAUUUAUUGGGCGUAAAGCGCGCGCAGGCGGUUAGAAAAGUCUGAAGUGAAAGGCAGUGGCUCAACCAUUGUAGGCUUUGGAAACUGUUUAACUUGAGUACAGAAGGGGAGAGUGGAAUUCCAUGUGUAGCAGUGAAAUGCGUAGAUAUAUGGAGGAACACCGGUGGCGAAAGCGACUCUCUGGUCUGUAACUGACGCUGAGGCUCGAAAGCGUGGGGAGCGAACAGG